GGAAGCCGCCGGGGCCGCCUAGAGAAGAGGCUGUGCUUCGGCGCUCCGGCUCCUCAGAGAGCCUCGGCUAGCUGGGAUUCUGUCCCUGACCGUCUUCACAGUCCAGGUGAUCUUGACUACUGCUUUACAGAGAAUUGGAUCUGAGGUGUGGAAACAGGAAGAGAACUAGAACUGGAAGUAAAGCAUUGAAGAUGUGACUGAAUUGCUGCAAUCUCAUGAUCAAAUUUGAAUGGAUGAGGAGUUGCUUUUUAGGGAUGAGCAAAGAAAGUGGUUUCUCGAGAUGGAAUCUACUGGUUGCUCCUUGAGGGCAGGACAGUUCUUAUGGCUUUAUCCGUUGCGUAAGCACAGAGAGGUCUGCGAGGUCAAAACUAUUGUCAUGAUAGCAAGAUGCCUGUCUUUUUCAUUUAUUCUCACGGUGUGCAGAGGCUACAUGAUGUGUGAUGACAUCCUCAUUGAUGUUAAUGAAUGGUGCUAUACUUGAAUUUUCUAAGGUGUCAUUAGGUAGGUUUAGGUAUGCAUACUUGUUUUUAGAAAUUAUUUUUUUCCUUUUUCCCAUUUUUAGAAAUCAACUCAUUUUUUAGGUUAUGCCUUCAGUAAUCUUUGCAACCUCAAUAUUGUGUAAUGGUUACUUUAAAAUACUGUAGUUUUCUUUGUGCCUAAGUAUAAACAUAAGUACAUUUUGUUGUUUUGUUUGCAAUAGUGGUUUAAAUAUUUUCCCAAAAUAUCCAAAUUUAAAAAUUCUACAACUUUAGAAUUUAAUAAAUUUAUUCUAAAAUAUUUAUAUAUUUUUUCAUUUAAGAAUGGAUCGGCUUAAAAAGACUGCUUCUCAUUUACUUACUGGCUAUACCAUCUGUAUACUAAUAAAAAACAAGAUUUGAUUUGGAAGGACUGACUCAAACUAACGAAAAUAUGAAACCUGUCUUUCUGCUUUGGAGAUAUUUACCUAAUCAUGUUCUGCAGUAGAAUAAUUUAGUUCUUUUGUCUUUUUUUGGAGAUGAGGUCUUGCUGUGUUGCCCAGGCUAUUCACAGCUGCCAUCAUAGUGAACUACAGCCUGAAACUCCUGGGUUCAAGAGAUCCUUCUGCCUCAGCCUCCUGAGUAGCUGGAACUAUAGGCAUGCGCCACCAAGCCUGGGCUUUUAAAAAAAUUUUAAAAAGAAUUUUGAGACAGGAUCUUGCCAUGUUGCUCAGGCUAGUCUUCAACUCCUAGCCCUGAGUGAUCUUGCUUUGGGCCUCUCAAAAUGUUGAGUUAAUAGGCGUGAGCCACCAUACCCAGCCAAAAAUUUUUUUAGAGAUGGGAAUGGAAUGAUCUUGAAUAGUGUUGGUGCCACCUAUGUUGUGGCAUCAUUUUGAAACCAAUCAUUCAGAGUGCUUUUUUUGGUAAGGCAUUAUUUUUUAAUGCAGGUAUGCCACUACUGGGAAAAAAAAAAAAACAGGUUUUAAAGCUAGAAAUGAAAAGCUACUUAAGUAUCUUAAAGGAUAAGUUACUUUAUUAUACACUAGAAACAUACACAAUAGCUGAAAAACUUAAAAAAUCUCACACUGCUGAAUGUCUCUGCUGGCUGAAGUGUAAGUAAAAGAUCAUAGUAGUGCCGCUGUUGAGUGAUAAAGCAACUUGUCAUUAAAGAUGUGUGUGCAGACAUGGAUUCUGAGUUAAUAUCUCAUCUGUAGAAGUAUAUAUUUGUCCCUUGCUUUGGGAUUGGUUUCUGGACAGCACUCCCCCACCCUUGCUGGCCAUUUGCCAAGGACACCAAAACCCAAGGAUGUUGAAUUCCCUUUUAUAAAAUGGCGCUGUAUCUGCAUACAACUUACACACAUCCUCCCAUAUACUUUAAAUCAUUUCCAGAUUUCUUAUACUUCAUACAAUGUGAAUGCUAUAUAAAUAGUUGUUACAUUGUGUACUUAUAUUUGUACUAUUGUAUUAAAUAUUCUCAAAUAUUUUCAAGCAAAAAA
rnacentral:lncRNA from 1 species